GACGUAGGGGACGAGCGUUGUCCGGAAUCAUUGGGCGUAAAGCGCGCGUAGGUGGUCCCGUAAGUCCGCUGUGAAAGUCAAAGGCUCAACCUUUGAAAGCCGGUGGAUACUGUGGGACUAGAGUACGGAAGAGGCGAGUGGAAUUCCUGGUGUAGCGGUGGAAUGCGCAGAUAUCAGGAGGAACACCAGAGGCGAAGGCGGCUUCUGGCCUGUAACUGACGCUGAGGCGCGAAGGCUGGGGUAGCGAACAGG
rnacentral:rRNA from 1 species